rnacentral:rRNA from 1 species
UACACGCUGUGACUAGCAUAUCAAUAAGCGGAGGAAAAGAAACUAACAAGGAUUCCCCUAGUAACGGCGAGUGAAGCGGGAAGAGCUCAAAUUUGAAAUCUUAAAGGGUUUCCCUUUACGAAUUGUAGUUUAAAGAAGUGUUUUCUGUUGAGGUUUUGGUAAAAGUUCUUUGGAAUAGGACAUCAUAGAGGGUGAGAAUCCCGUAUUUGACCUUUACUUUCAACUUUGUCGAUACACUUUCAAAGAGUCGGAUUGUUUGGGAAUGCAGUCCAAAAUGGGUGGUAAAUUUCAUCUAAAGCUAAAUAUUGGCGAGAGACCGAUAGCGAACAAGUACCGUGAGGGAAAGAUGAAAAGAACUUUGAAAAGAGAGUUAAACAGUACGUGAAAUUGUCAAAAGGGAAGCGUUUGACACCAGUGUUGUUUUUCUGAAAAUCAAUUAAAGAACUGUUUAUGCUAAGUUGUUUAGACUUUAUCAGCUAACUGUUUAGUUUUGAGCUUUUCUUUAAUGCACUUUUCAGUUAACAAGUCAACAUCAAUUUCUUUUGCUGUAAAAAAGCUUGAGGAAGGUGGCUUGAGAUUCGUCUUAAGUGUUUAUAGCCUCUUGCCUAUGCAGUCGGAGAGAUUGAGGUCUGCAGCGUAGAUCCUUCGGGGCUAAAUGCAUUUGUGCUAAGUUAUAGCAUUUUAUAGACAACUUGUUGACUAUGAUUUGUCUUGUAGCUUACUCGCUUAUGUUAUUUUACCUACGCUUAGGAUGUUGAGUCGUAGAGCACGCAG